GAUGAACGCUGGCGGCGUGCCUAAUACAUGCAAGUCGAGCGGACAGAUAAGGAGCUUGCUCCUUUGACGUUAGCGGCGGACGGGUGAGUAACACGUGGGUAACCUACCUAUAAGACUGGGAUAACUUCGGGAAACCGGAGCUAAUACCGGAUAAUAUUUCGAACCGCAUGGUUCGAUAGUGAAAGAUGGUUUUGCUAUCACUUAUAGAUGGACCCGCGCCGUAUUAGCUAGUUGGUAAGGUAACGGCUUACCAAGGCGACGAUACGUAGCCGACCUGAGAGGGUGAUCGGCCACACUGGAACUGAGACACGGUCCAGACUCCUACGGGAGGCAGCAGUAGGGAAUCUUCCGCAAUGGGCGAAAGCCUGACGGAGCAACGCCGCGUGAGUGAUGAAGGUCUUCGGAUCGUAAAACUCUGUUAUUAGGGAAGAACAUACGUGUAAGUAACUGUGCACGUCUUGACGGUACCUAAUCAGAAAGCCACGGCUAACUACGUG
rnacentral:rRNA from 1 species